CGGUUUAGGAGGUAGCCAUAAGGUGAAACGCGAGAUUGGGAGGUUAACCUCGUUGUUGAGGCGGUGAUUGAUGGCUUCGAUGAAGAUCGACGAAGGAAAGAUCGAAUCAGAGAUACCAAUCUGCGUGAAGCCAUCUUCGAUGAGAGAGGUAAAAUAUCAGGGAAUCCCUGUGAAUUCGAAUCAGAUAUGAAUGCUAUUUUUUCCAAGAAUCAGAGAUGAGAGAAAGGUAAAAUAUCAUCUCUGAUAAAUGUUCAAUCUGCGUGACUGCCAUUUUUUUUUUCUUCAAGGAUGGGUAGAGGCCAUGCUUUGGAAAUAGAUAAAUGUGAGAUGAGUGGGUAUCUGUUUGAGUUUUCA
rnacentral:lncRNA from 1 species